GCGCCCAUAGCUCAGCCGGAUAGAGCAUCGGACUUCUAAUCCGACGGUCGGGGGUUCGAAUCCCUCUGGGCGCGCCA
rnacentral:tRNA from 3 species